UCUCCGUUGGUGAACCAGCGGAGGGAUCAUUACUGAGUCUAACAAACUCCCAAACCCCUGUGAACAUACCUACUGUUGCUUCGGCGGGACCGCCCCGGGCGCCUUCGCGGUGCCCCGGAACCAGGCGGCCCGCCGGGGGACCCAAACUCUAGAUUUUUAUUUUAGCAUGUCUGAGUGGAAUCAUUACAAAAUGAAUCAAAACUUUCAACAACGGAUCUCUUGGUUCUG
rnacentral:misc_RNA from 1 species